GAGACGGAGUCUUGCUCUGUCACCCAGGCUGGAGUGCAGUGGCGCGAUCUCGGCUCACUGCAAGCUCCGCCUCCCGGGUUCACGCCAUUCUCCUGCCUCAGCCUCCCGAGUAGCUGGGACUACAGGCGCCCGCCACCACGCCCGGCUAAUUUUUUGUAUUUUUAGUAGAGACGGGGUUUCACCGUGUUAGCCAGGAUGGUCUCGAUCUCCUGACCUCGUGAUCCACCCGCCUCGGCCUCCCAAAGUGCUGGGAUUACAGGCGUGAGCCACCGCGCCCGGCCGAAAGCCAACUCUUAUGCCUAGAAAUAUGUGCACCUAUGACCAAGCCCAUGAAUUAUACAGGAAUUAUGUAAUUAUGAGUGAUGUACUUCAAAGUUAUUGCACAUACACUUGUUUACUUUGUAUGUUUGCAGGAUUAAACUUUGUAUAAUCUUUUUACAAAAAUUUUUUUUCAGUAUGCAAGCUUGCAAGAUGAAAAUAAAACCUGUUUGCC
rnacentral:lncRNA from 10 species